CCCACACACUUCUUGUUGUGAAAUAUAACACUUUGUAAAAACCUUCAGCCAAGUGUUUGGAAGUAUUCUUAAAUUCAAAUGAAUGAUUGCAAUAUCCUUGUAUUAUAACCAAGCAAUCAUAACGAUUGUCAAUAACUCAUAAACACUCUAUGAACUUCUUAUUUUCCCUAACCCUCAACCUAAAAUCAAUUGAUUGUGUUAUAAACUAGAAAUAAAACCAAACAAACAACGAGAACAACCCAAAAUAGAACAGUGUGACUGGGGAACUCUUCUCUCGACAGACCAUAGAAUUAUUUUAUGGUCCUUGUUUUUGUUCUAAGUGAUUUAGCAGACGCUCGUAUCCAAAGCAGCGACGGGCAGUGAAUACGUGGGGUAGGUAGGGGUUAGGAAUCCCACUCCUCCUGUCUCAGUGUUCUACUAAGGUCACCACUCCUCAGUGUUCUACUAAGGUUACUACUCCUCCUGUCUCAGUGUUCUACUAAGGUCACCACUCCUCAGUGUUCUACUAAGGUCACUACUCUGUCUCUCUCUGUGUUCUACUAAGGUCACUACUCCGUCUCUCUCAGUGUUCUACUAAGGUCACUACUCCUUCUCUCUCAGUGUUCUACUAAGGUCAAACAGUCACAAAGGGCAGCUGACAUGGAGUCAUCUAGACCAAUUUCGAAAUAAUCUACGACCAGUUAAGUGUGUUUGUGUGUGUGUGUGUGUGUGGUUUGUUAGUGCUGAGCACACAGUAUCGCCACUAAGAAUUUAACCAACAUUGAGGAACAACAUCCACACAACACACGCACAGUCUUGCACUGCUUGGUUUCCCAACAUUGGCAGAAUGUGACAUCACAUCACAUGCCCAAACACAAAAAAAUCGACUGUUGAUUUGAUAUCAGGAAAACAGUGUCCCUAUGGUGCUAAACCCCCUCCCCCCAAAGCAGUGGUGUGCGGUGGUACACGGCCAGGACCAAUGAAUGUAACCUUCAUUCUGCUUCUGCAGUCAUUGUGACACUUAAAAUCUUAGGGACAAAACAUUACCCAGUUACCAUGGCAUUGGACAACACAACGAUGCAUUACUAUGGGACAUCAUGUGGUGAGGUCAUAUUAGUUAGUUGAUUAGUUGAGCGUAUGUGAGUGUGUGUGUGUGUGUGUGUGUGUGUGUGUGUGUGUGUGUGUGUGUGUGUGUGUGUGUGUGUGUGUGUGUGUGUGUGUGUGUGUACACGUGUGUGAAUAGAGGAAGUGUGCGUUAUUUAGGGUCCCUCACCUGUUGAUGUGACUUGACAACUUACUUUAUUGUUAUGAACCUAAAGAAAGUAGUUGUUUUAACGUUUAAUACAGAAUGUUUUAAACGUCCAUUUAUUGGACCUGGUUGCAGAGCCAUAUACCUAAACGUUUGAGACUUCUUUCUUUGAGAAAAAUACCAUCCCAGGCUUUUAGCUGUGCAUUUUUACAAUUUUUUCCCCCAGAUUUCUGCUGAAGAGAAAAAAAACUAUUAACCGAAAACAGAUUUAAGGAGAAGGCUUCCAGGAGUCACCGUGUUCAACUCUCGUUGAGCUUUGGUGAGAAAGUGAACGAGUACAGGGACGGACAGACGGAUAGACCGACAGACACACAGCCAGACACACAUUAAGCAUUAACGUGUAGGACAUUUCAUUGUGAAAUCCCCUGUUUUUAAUCUUGUGGCUCAGUCUCAUAAAUCCUGAUUCCAAACUCGGAGCACACGGACGCGCUGGUUUAAUCUGUAACCACCUCAGCUCCUAAUGAUGAGACUACUAGACACCUCGGAGGGAAACAUGUAGGACAGAAGUCUCCAACGAUACGCGCCGGGGUCGGAGCUAAAUCAAAGAGGCGUUAUUAUAACCCACACUGAUCUACAAUAUAUAAUAUCUCAUCCAACUUACCGAAGGAAGGAUGACAGGUAAGUUGGUCUGACGAAGUUCCCUCGCGUUCUAGUCAACGGUGCGUGGGACGUCCGACGGGAGGGUUUCUUCCCCCCCCCCCCCUUCAAUGUGACUAAAACCCCGAACCAAUAGAAAUGAGGAGUCAGAAACAGCUCCUUAUAAACGGACUAAGAGAUGUUUUCGUGCUCAGGAUGUGGAAAAUGUGCAGGCAUAGGCCUACUGUUUAAUGUGGUUAUUGUGGUCCUCUAGAUCUGUCUUACUCUCAAACAUUCAUGACGUUUAUGUUUCAGCUUGUCUUACACUGGUAAUUUAUUUUCGAAAUAAGAGUUUACGACAUUUAAGUGAUGAUUUCAACAAUAGAGUGGAGUUCUACUUUUAUUCACACGGUCACAAAUUCAAACGUAACUCGAUGGAUUUAUUUUAAUUUGCAUGGCUAACUCAGGACAGUUAUGAAAGAUAUUCAGAUGUUGCAGAUGUUGACACCAAAGUUCCAAACAGUCAAAUGCAUUCACAACAAUAUGCAUACUUUUUUAAUUUAACGACAGUGUUUAUGUGAUGAUGGUCGCGGUCAGAGAUUUCAGUAAUAACCUCUUUCAAGUGAAAAAAAAUCCACUUACUUUCUCAUCCAUAUGAAAAUUUCUCCCUGCAUGCGUCCAACAGACCUCUGAGGAACGAAGGUCGAGGGUUCACUGACCAUAUAACACAAAGCUGAGGUGAAGGGACACGUAAAUAAUGGAGAGGCCAAAGAAGGCCUACAGGAUCGGCCUACAGGCUGAGUGCCGUUCAAUUCCCCUUCUGGUCACUUUUUGUGGCCAUGAUAUAGGAACAACCGAUAUCUGAUAUCAAAUAUUCCUCCUUUCCAAUUGAGUAGGUAGGCCUACAAGAAAAGAUUUUACGCAAAAUCGUUCAACCUUUUCAAUACAAUAAAUUGAUAUUCACAUUCAAUAGCUUAUUUGAAACAAAAAUAAAUAAAUAAAAAUAGGACCAUAUUUGGAAGCCACUGAAUUAAAAUGCUAAUAACCUGAGGGAUAUUAAACAGGAUCCUUGGACAGUAGAACAUAUUUUAUGAGGCAUGUUGAAGGGAACACCUUUAAGAAAUGAGCUGAAUCAUUGAACAUCUAUGGAGGAACACGUGAAUCUUUGUUAUAAAGGGACAGCUUACUACACACGAGCCAACCAAAUAUGUACACGUCUAAAUAGUCUCAUUCACUAAAGAGGCACUUUGAAUCUAAACAGUCCGAUCAGCCCUCAAAGUCGUCUUCCAAGAUGAUGUGUGUUGAAGUCACACUUUGCAAAGAUGUGGCAGUUGCUUAGUCAGGGAAAAUAAUAAACGAUACCACAGGAAAAAUCAUAGAAAAUAAACAAGACAUUUAUCCAAACAAAUCAAACUCGUUUCUUGUAAUUGCUUUAGACAAGAAUGCACUCAUUAAUUUCUGUAAGUAAGAGGAGAUAGCAUGAGCGAAAAGCGUAUUCAGUACUGCUACAGGAGCCACACACCUCUGCAGACGUUUACCUUGAAUCAGAGCCGUUGUGGAAGGCGUGAUUCCCUCUCAUCCUUUAGUUUGUUCUCUUUCAAGUAAAACAGAGAAGGCUUUGAAACUGUUUACAGUAUGGAUAUUUGUGUGAUUAUAUUACAAAUGAUCAUUAGAAAGUGUCACAGCAAAAUAAUACACACAAACACACAAACAAAAACGAACUACAAAUAAUACAUCCUUAAAUAAAUAAAUAAUAAAUAUCGAUUUGCUUUCAUUUGCUUCAAGAAAUAAAUAAAUAAAUCAGAAGAUUAGGAGUGAAAGUCAAACGUAGUAGAUGGUAGGAGUUCAAAUUGUACCGUUGCAUCAUUAAUUAUGAAGUAAAAUUUACUCAUUAGUUGACUUCUUCUAAAUAUCAUCUUCCCUUAUUAUGUCCUUACCAAAAUCACAAUCAAUAUGCAUCCCAAACCCCGUUCUCAGCCGCCCAUUGGCUAAAAACAGGAGAAUAUUACUACAGCCAAUAGCGUGAGAGAUUGAACUUCAAAGUCCUCCUUGGAAUGUGAUCGAGUCCCUUUGUUUAGUGAAUACAACGUGCUCAGUGCUGUCAUGUUGUUGACCUCCAAGCUGUUUAUCAGGAGGUAAACACCACGUUGACCCAUUGAGCCUCACAUUGACAGCAAUGCCCACGAGUUUGAGCGGAAAAGAGACAAAUCGACCAACCGAGCCCCCCUACCAAAACAAAAGAUCAGCAUUCAUGUUGAUUUGAGGAAGCGUAAACACUCAAGAUGCACAUGAGAAUAAAGUAAUACCUUGUAUUGGAUGAUAUUCAUGCCUUUGUUGCAAUAUUUAGUAUAUACUACCGACCCUGGGGGAUAAAUCCCUGACGUAGGUUAUGUGGUAGAUUCUUUGACUCCGGAGGUUAUUUUAACGUUACAUCUCAGCCCCACUGAACCGUGUGACAUGCUAAGUGCUCGUAGGGCUCGUUGCCACGGGAAUAAGAACUAAUCCUACCCAAAGUAAACACCCCCCCCCCCCCCCCCCAGCGGUUCCUUAAGGAGCGGUGGAGCCGGUCAGAACCGGUCAGAACCGGUGUCUGCGUGAGGGGGAGGUGGCCUGGCCCGGGUCCACCGGGUCCUCUAGGGGCAGGACCAGCCGGG